rnacentral:rRNA from 1 species
CAGGACGAACGCUGGCGGCGUGCCUAACACAUGCAAGUCGAACGGGGCUGAAGAUGGCACAGGCUCACCUGUGGAGUCAGGUGAGCGCGUGUCGUCUUCAGCUUAGUGGCGGACGGGUGAGUAACGCGUGAGCGACCUGACCCAUACAGGGGGACAACAGCUGGAAACGGCUGCUAAUACCGCAUAAGACCACGUACCUGAGGGUAUGGGGUAAAAGGAGGAAUCCGGUAAGGGAGGGGCUCGCGUCCCAUUAGGUAGUUGGUGAGGUAACGGCCCACCAAGCCGACGAUGGGUAGCCGGACUGAGAGGUUGAACGGCCACAUUGGAACUGAGAGACGGUCCAGACUCCUACGGGAGGCAGCAGUGGGGAAUAUUGGGCCAAUGGGGGGAACCCUGACCCAGCAACGCCGCGUGAGGGAAGAAGGUUUUCGGAUUGUAAACCUCUGUCCUUGGUGACGAAGGAAGUGACGGUAGCCAAGGAGGAAGCCCCGGCAAACUACGUGCCAGCCGCCGC